UACGUAGGGUGCGAGCGUUGUCCGGAUUUAUUGGGCGUAAAGAGCUCGUAGGCUGUUUGUCGCGUCGGCCGUGAAAUCUCCACGCUUAACGUGGAGCGUGCGGUCGAUACGGGCAGACUUGAGUUCGGUAGGGGAGACUGGAAUUCCUGGUGUAGCGGUGAAAUGCGCAGAUAUCAGGAGGAACACCGGUGGCGAAGGCGGGUCUCUGGGCCGAUACUGACGCUGAGGAGCGAAAGCGUGGGGAGCGAACAGG
rnacentral:rRNA from 1 species